GUGUGCGCGUCGCACUGGGAUGAGAACCCAGCCUGGAAACAGUCGGUAAGUCGUACCUGUCUCCCAGAUCUCGUCGUUCGAGACUUGUUGGCGAGGGGUUGCAACAGUGAUGUGCGCGUCGCACUGAGAUGAAAUCUUGGGAACCCAGUCCGGAAACAGUCGGUGAGUCGUACCUGUCUCCCAGCUCUCGUCGUUCGAGAGUUGUUGGUAGAGCAUGCAGCAGAGCUGAUGUGCGCGUUGCACUGAGAUGAAAUCCUGCGAACCCAGCGUGGAAACAGUCGGUGAGUCGUACCUGCCUCCUAAGUCUUGUCGUUUGAGAGAGAGUUGCUUAGAGACUUGCGGAUUCUCCGGGAUUGGUUGUAGUUGCUGCUGCUGGAUCUCUGGUUGAACUGGGAUCUCUGUCGGGUUGGUCGAAGUUGUGAGCACCAUGCUUUUUAGAGUACAGUUCUGGAAAACGUCUCUAGGACAUACCACUUGUGGCAUGUUGUUACACUUUAACGGCAGGAAGGAUGUUGUACGGUCGAAGGACCUGGUGAUGUGAUGCGAUGCAAUACCUGGCUGUGAUGAUGGUACUCCAGAGUGUGGUUGAGAAGGCGGUGGGUUAUUAGAGUUAGACCUACCCUUGUGGGUGAGAAUGAAGUGGUAUAGAAUGCGGAGGAAAAGUAUGUGACGGGAGUUUAAGAUGCGGCGGCAUGUGCGGUGGUGGACCACCAUGUGGACACAUGCCUGGCAGUGGAAAACAACUGCAUACUAGGCAUACCAGGAUGAGGCGGCACCUGGUGCGGCGAUGUUGGACGUCCUGGGUGAUAACUCGGAACGUGCGGUUGAUGCAUCGUAGGUGCAGAAGUAUGGAAUGAUGCCUUCUGCGGUGGAAGUUGUAGCUGAAGAGGCAUCGAAGAUUGAGUCCUUGGUAGCGGUUGAUGUUGCGUUCGUCGUAGACAUUGUUGUGUUGCACUCAGAUAUUGACUCACCAGAUACCCACAAAAUAAAAACUAACGUGUGUUUAAUGUUCGCAAAUAUCACGUCGGGGUCACCAAUUUGUGGGAUCGGUGAGUGUGAGUUCAAAUGUUCUAAUUGAUGUGUGUUAAAAGACACGAUGUUUAUUAUCACGAACAAUGUUUAUUAAGAAGUCUUGAAGAAGUAUAGUUAAGAAGUAUUGUAGAGAAGAAUAGUUAAGAACUGUAGUGUUUGAAGUAAUGUCAAGAACUGUCCUUCCUAAACCCUUGUCACCCACCAGCAACCCUUCAGGUUGAUGGGUGGUGACAAGAAAUUUGGAAGUAGGAAGAAAGUAAUAGAUUGGAUUGGUAGAAGAAAGUGUAUGACAUUGAAGAGAGGGAAAGCUGACCAUUGGAUUCUGGGAAUCCGAGUCGUGCCAAACCGUCCGACUCGGGGAUUAGGUUUUUCAAGGUAAUAAAAGAUAUUAGGAAAUUUGGGAAUUUUGGAUGAAGAAUUACGGUAUACAAUAAAGAUGAAGAAAGUUAUAAAGUUUUGAAAUACAGAAAUAA